UGUGGGAGCGAGCCUGCUCGCGAUAGCGGUGUGUCAGCCAAUAUUCCUGUGACUGACUACCGCUAUCGCGAGCAGGCUCGCUCCCACA
rnacentral:misc_RNA from 1 species